AUAUUGUUGUAUCCCGUUCUUUAGAGUUUGUAAAUUUAUGGCAAACUGCUCAUAUUUUUUAUGAACGUUGCAACUUCCUUUCUGCCCCGUUCGCCACUCUCCUGUGCUCCCGGCGCUUCGUCCUCCGCUCCGCCUCGGCCCAUGGCUAGCCAAGGCGAAGCGGUGACGCAGUACAUGACGGACGACGCGCACCCUCCUGCCCGUGUCCCUGGGCACCGGCAGCGUAGCGGAGGCCAUGGAAACCAUGCUGCUGUCCUUCGUUGGCCCGUCGGUGAAGGCCGCGUGUGUGUGCGUGUGCGCGUGUGUGCGUGUGUGUGUGGGGGGGUGGUUUCCCCCCGCGGCGGAGGACCUCGUCACCAGCGUCGUCUAUCGUCUUCGUCGGGACAGUCGUGGGGGCGUGCGUGGGAGGCCUCGGUUCAGACAGAUACGGCAGAAGGUUUGGUGUUCUGAUCACUGCACUUGUCACUAGCAUUUCUGGUUUCCUCUGCGCCUUCUCACCGAACUACCCAACCUUACUGGUUCUGCGCUUUGUCGUUGGCCUUGGGCUGGGUGCUAGCCAUGUGCUCUCUGUCUGGUUCCUGGAGUUCGUUCCUGCUGAAAACAGAGGUUCAUGAAUGGCUGGCUUUGCUUGUUUUUGGAGCAUUGGAACAAUAUUGGAGGCUCUACUUGCUUGGGUA